rnacentral:tRNA from 1 species
AGGCCUGUGGUCUAAGGGUAGGACGGCUCUUUCUCAAAGAGCAAGUGCGGGUUCGAGUCCCGCUGGGAUUA